rnacentral:rRNA from 1 species
UAUGAACCGUCCAAACGUUAUUCGGAAUUACUGGGCUUAAAGGGUUCGUAGGCGGCCUUGUAAGUGGGGUGUGAAAUCCCUCGGCUCAACCGAGGAAUAGCGCUCCAAACUGCAAGGCUUGAGGGAGACAGGGGUAAGCGGAACUGAUGGUGGAGCGGUGAAAUGCGUUGAUAUCAUCAGGAACACCGGUGGCGAAAGCGGCUUACUGGGUCUCUUCUGACGCUGAGGAACGAAAGCUAGGGUAGCGAACGGG